AGUCUGGCCUCCUGAGCCCCCCACCUCCUUGCACACUGCACACUACCAAGUACCCACUUGGGCUGCAUGUGCCAUCUACAGGGCUUCUGGACAGGGCAGUCACAGGUCAGCUAGACAGGCCCCUCCACUCUGGGGUCCACACUGUCAUCUGGUAGCCACAGGGGGGCAGAUUUCUAUGAAGAAGGGAGAGCAGGCAGGGCUGAGGAGCCACCUCACCACGGAGUGAGUGCCCAUCACCCGAGCCCAGAGACAGAGACCUGUUCACAGCUGUGACUGGGCUCCUCACAGUGCAAAGACACAGCGACCCCAGGGGACUUGAAGGCCAGGAGCCUUCUUGGGUCAGCAGGCCCAGCUCAGUUCUACAUUCCUUCUGGGGAAGGAAGGCGAAUCCCCUGGAGACAGAAAUGGCAACCCACUCCAAUAUUCUUGCCUGGAGAAUCCUAUGGACAGAGCGAGUCAGACACGACUGAAGCGACUUGGGACACACGCACAGAUAAUGACAAAGAGAAAAAGAGUAACCUUACUGUGGGCGAACUGGCGGACCCCACCUUAACCAAGUGAUCAAAGAGGACAUCAGUAGUAAUUGGGCAAAGUGAAAUUGUGUGCCCCUCCAUAAGUGAUGUAAAAGCAUCACUUCUGUGGUCUUCUUGCCUGAAGCACCUGAUCUAUUCAUAAGGAAAGAUCAAAAAGAUUCCAAAUAAAGGGACAAUUAGCCUAUAC
ensembl:lncRNA